CCUCGGGUGGCAGCAGUGAGGAAUAUUGGUCAAUGGCCGUAAGGCUGAACCAGCCAAGUCGCGUGAAGGAAGAAGGAUCUAUGGUUUGUAAACUUCUUUUAUAGGGGAAUAAAGGUAUCCACGUGUGGAUAGUUGCAUGUACCCUAUGAAUAAGCAUCGGCUAACUCCGUGCCAGCAGCCGCGGUAAUACGGAGGAUGCGAGCGUUAUCCGGAUUUAUUGGGUUUAAAGGGUGCGUAGGUUGUUUUUUAAGUCCGAGGUGACAGUUUGUGGCUAAACCAUAAAAUUGCCGUUGAAACUGGAAGACUUGAGUGUGUUUGAGGGAGGCGGAAGGCGUGGGGUGGCGGUGAAAGGCAGAGAUAGAACGCAGAACUCCGAUUGCGAGGGCAGCUUA
rnacentral:rRNA from 1 species